rnacentral:sRNA from 1 species
AGAUUUGGUGGAAGAGGUGGCUGUGCUGGCCUGUCCUCCCCCUGCUCCAAGGCAGCCCUGCAAAGCCCCCUGGAAGGAAGCCCUUCCCUGGUGGGGGAGGAAUGUCCCUCCUGCGAGGGCAACAUACUGCAGCCGAGCUCCCUGGUUAGAGCUUCCACACAAGCUCUCAGCGCCCAAUUAUGGGGGAUUUCUUUGGGGCAAAACCGAAACAGCAAAUUUAAAAAUCCCUCUGUGCUGUUUU